AAAUUGACGAAGAAGAGUAGAGUAUAUAUACCCGAUCCUAUUAGAGAGUUCUGCUGGUGGAAAUGAACAGGAAGAAGGAUAUAGAAGAUGGACUUGGAGUCGUGUGGCUGAUAGGUAAGUCAUGACGGAUGCGCCCGUUAUCGCGUUAGAGUAUAUUUGUACUUUCUGAGGUAAGAUAAGUGAUUAUCUUAUAAAAAUAGGUGGUAACACGUUAGUUUCGCUUUCGUCCUAUAG
rnacentral:ncRNA from 1 species